rnacentral:rRNA from 1 species
UACGGAGGAUCCAAGCGUUAUCCGGAAUCAUUGGGUUUAAAGGGUCCGUAGGCGGUUUGGUAAGUCAGUGGUGAAAGCCCAUCGCUCAACGGUGGAACGGCCAUUGAUACUGCUAAACUUGAAUUAUUAGGAAGUAACUAGAAUAUGUAGUGUAGCGGUGAAAUGCUUAGAGAUUACAUGGAAUACCAAUUGCGAAGGCAGGUUACUACUAAUGGAUUGACGCUGAUGGACGAAAGCGUGGGUAGCGAACAGG